rnacentral:rRNA from 1 species
GACGAACGCUGGCGGCGUGCCUAAUACAUGCAAGUCGAGCGCAGGAAGCUGACGGAACUCUUCGGAGGGAAGGCAGUGGAAUGAGCGGCGGACGGGUGAGUAACACGUAAGGAACCUGCCUCAAGGAUUGGGAUAACUCCGAGAAAUCGGAGCUAAUACCGGAUAGUUCAACGGACCGCAUGGUCCGCUGAUGAAAGGCGCUCCGGCGUCACCUUGAGAUGGCCUUGCGGUGCAUUAGCUAGUUGGUGGGGUAAGGGCCCACCAAGGCGACGAUGAAUAGCCGACCUGAGAGGGUGAUCGGCCAAACUGGGACUGAGACACGGCCCAGACUCCUACGGGAGGCAGCAGUAGGGAAUCUUCCACAAUGGACGAAAGUCUGAUGGAGCAACGCCGCGUGAGUGAUGAAGGUUUUCGGAUCGUAAAACUCUGUUGUAAGGGAAGAACACGUACGAGAGGAAAUGCUCGUACCUUGACGGUACCUUACGAGAAAGCCACGGCUAACUACGUGCCAGCCGCCGCAGUAACAC